GCCAUGGCUAAAGUUUGUGGACAACAUGCAAUGUAGUCGCUGCACAGAGUCCAAACCUCGGAAGAGACAGGAGUGGAUUUAUUUUAUUUUUAGUGGAAAUCCCUCAGAAGCCAGAAGUAAAAACCUGCUUGUCUGCGCGAAUCACUUCAAACCGGAGUGCGUUUUCAACCUGGGACAGUACAAGCAGGAUUAGCUUCAAAGUUGUUCCUCAAGAGGUAUCGAGACCGACUGAACGAGACGAAGCUGCCGAUUCACAACCUGAAGAACUUCACCACCACCUCAGACUCCAUCCCAUAAUGCCCCGGUGUGUUUCCAGCAUCAGAUCGCUGAACUACAGAAACAGGUGAAAGCAUUCAUCAUCACUGCGCUUCGUCAAUCUUCAGUUGGGAGUCAGGAGAAUCUGGAUGGGGUUCAAGAUGUACGUCAGCCUCAAUCAUGGCCUUUCAUGGAAGUUUCCUGCACAUAAUCCAGAUGAGUUCACUCUUUGAUAGUGUGCA